rnacentral:rRNA from 1 species
GACGAACGCUGGCGGCGUGCCUAAUACAUGCAAGUUGAGCGCUGAAGGUUGGUACUUGUACCAACUGGAUGAGCAGCAAACGGGUGAGUAACGCGUGGGGAAUCUGCCUUUGAGCGGGGGACAACAUUUGGAAACGAAUGCUAAUACCGCAUAAAAACUUUAAACACAAGUUUUAAGUUUGAAAGAUGCAAUUGCAUCACUCAAAGAUGAUCCCGCGUUGUAUUAGCUAGUUGGUGAGGUAAAGGCUCACCAAGGCGAUGAUACAUAGCCGACCUGAGAGGGUGAUCGGCCACAUUGGGACGGAGACACGGCCCAAACUCCUACGGGAGGCAGCAGUAGGGAAUCUUCGGCAAUGGACGAAAGUCUGACCGAGCAACGCCGCGUGAGUGAAGAAGGGUUUCGGAUCGUAAAACUCUGUUGGUAGAGAAGAACGUUGGUGAGAGUGGAAAGCUCAUCAAGUGACGGUAACUACCCAGAAAGGGACGGCUAACUACGUG